CCGAACCCUCGAGGUCAACCAGUGUAUACACACGGCGGCAAAUUCAAAGUCUACGGAGAUUUAACAUUGUCAAAAUGGCUGCCACUUCGGAAGGGGAUCAUCCAUUGUUCGUAAUUUUCCGUACGUCGUCGUCAGUAAGGAAAUGACGUCACACACGUUCGGGAGUGCUCUAUGGUUAUCGACGUCCGAAAAACCUAUAACGCCCGAGACUUCCAAGUAUAUAUUUAUCAUUGUUUAUACUACAAGAAAUAUCACUUUUUCAACAAACUUUCAUACCCAGACUGAGACCCAAGGGACCAAAGAUUCAUAAAAGGGUUAGUCACUGCAUAAAGGCAAAGAGGAUAUUAGAACAAAAUUAGAAGAAUAAUUGUAAAGUGCCCACUGAAGCUUGAGUCCAUGCUGUAGAAAAGACAUGAAACAGAAGUGAGAAAAUGUCGACAUCAGUCAUCUAUAAAGAUGGAGAUUGCCUCUAUUCUAAAAUUUCCGAGGGAAAUGGUGUUGUCUGGCUCAUCCAAUGAUCACUCCAUUUGCAGAUUACCAGGUUCCAGUCUGAAGUAUACAUUGGAAGAGCAUCUUUCUCAUUCAUAUAACAAUUACUACCUGUGAUCCAGAAGAAUGUCCUGAU